GCCGUAGCUCAGUGGUAGAGCACCUGCUUUGCGUGCAGAAGGUCGCAGGUUCGAUUCCCCACAUCACCA